GCAGCGAAAUGCGAUAAGUAAUGUGAAUUGCAGAAUUCAGUGAAUCAUCGAAUCUUUGAACGCACCUUGCGCCCUUUGGCUAUUCCGAAGGGCAUGCCUGUUUGAGUAUCAUGAACACCUCAACUCUCAUGGUCCGCCAUGAUGAGCUUGGACUUUGGGGGUCUUGCUGGCCUAGUGUCGGCUCCUCUCAAAUGGAUCAGCUUGCCAGUGUUUGGUGGCGUCACAGGUGUGAUAACUAUCUACGCUUGUGGUUUCCACCAUGCAACCUUCAGUGAUGGAGGUUCGCUGGAGCUCACAGAUGUCUCUCCUUGGGGAGGACAGCCUUUUGAACGUUUGAUCUCAAAUCAGGUAGGACUACCCGCUGAACUUAAGCAUAUCAAUAAGCGGAGGAAAAGAAACU
rnacentral:rRNA from 1 species